AACGAACGCUGGCGGCGUGCCUAACACAUGCAAGUCGAGCGCGAAAGGAGCAAUCCGAGUUAGAGCGGCGCACGGGUGCGUAACACGUGGAUAAUCUGCCUCAGGGUUGAGGAUAACCUUCCGAAAGGUUGGCUAAUACUCGGUAAGCUUACGGUGACUUUGGUCGCUGUGAGAAAACUAGACCUCUAUUUAUAAGUUUAGGCCCAGAGAUGAGUCCGCGGCCCAUCAGCUAGUUGGCGGGGUAACGGCCCACCAAGGCAACGACGGGUAGCUGGUCUGAGAGGACGAUCAGCCACACUGGAACUGAGACACGGUCCAGACUCCUACGGGAGCAGCAGUGGGGAAUUUUCCACAAUGGGCGAAAGCCUGAUGGAGCAACGCCGCGUGUGUGAUGAAGGUCUUCGGAUCGUAAAGCACUUUCGACCGGGACGAAAAACCUUUGGCUAACAUCCAGGGGCCUGACGGUACCGGGAGAAGAAGCACCGGCUAACUCUGUGCCAGCAGCCGCGGUAA
rnacentral:rRNA from 1 species